CAGUCGCCGCGGUAAUACGGAGGGGGCUAGCGUUGUUCGGAAUUACUGGGCGUAAAGCGCACGUAGGCGGUUUUGUAAGUCAGAGGUGAAAGCCCGGAGCUCAACUCCGGAACUGCCUUUGAGACUGCAUCACUUGAACGUCGGAGAGGUGAGUGGAAUUCCGAGUGUAGAGGUGAAAUUCGUAGAUAUUCGGAAGAACACCAGUGGCGAAGGCGGCUCACUGGACGACUGUUGACGCUGAGGUGCAAAAGCGUGGGGAGCAAGCAGGAUUAGAUACCCGCGUAGUCCCUGUCUCUUAUAC
rnacentral:rRNA from 1 species